GACAGCAAGCAGAGGCUCCGCGAGAAGGAAACCGCCCUCAUCUCCAGACUCCAGCUGCCGGAUUUGUCUGCCUGAACUCCUUUAUCUUUAUGCCUUAGGCUGGGGUUCCCAACCUCGGCACGCCUGACGUUGUGGGGUUGAGUCUCUGGGGCACCGGGGGGCUGUCCUGUGUGGGAUUCGGGGAAACACCCUGACCUCUGGGCACCACACGCCAGGAGCGACUCCUGACCCGCGCGUGUUCCCCGGGGGCAGAAUCACCCCGGUGUGAUGGCCUCGGGCAAAGCCCGCCUAUUCCGCCCACAGCCCUUCUGUCCGGGGGACCGCGGUCUCCCCUGCGGCUCUGCACGCAGAGCGGACGUUCCCGCCUCCUCCCUGUAGCCGCACAGAGGACACGACGGGAUGGUCUCCGAAUGAAACCGACCCCGUUCUCCGCCCGAGUCUGCAGCGCGGGGUCUGCACACCGCGGUGGCCUGGAGAGGUGUCGCCCGAGUUCAGGGCGAGUGCGGAGCUGGGACCCACUCGCAGCCGAGUCGCUGAGCCGCGUCACGUUUGAGAGCACGCCGAGAGGGCAGCUUUGGGAGCAGAUGGGCUCGUCCUAAAUGCUCUCUGUCGUGGGACUCCCGCCUUCGUCUCGGAAGGAAAUCCAAGCGGGGCGUCUGCCCCCCGAUGGAGGAGCCGACGCUCGGUGAGCGGGUGACCGAGGCAGCCGCGGUCCCGGGCGUGCGUCUCACUGGAGGCGCUCCUCCUUCCUCGCCUAACCCAAGGAAGCUCCAGACAGGAAUCACGACCCACCAGGGGCUUGGAGACCAUGGGGGCGGCCCCUGCGACGCCCACCUGCCCAGUCUGUCCAGGGAACCCCGAGGAUUCGACUUCAAGGAACUUCAGCUUCAGCUCGGACUCCUACCGACAGCUGCAGUCACAGUUUCCGGCUUCAAUGCCCAAGAAGCUGGGGCUGGAAUCCCCAGAAAUGCCAAUCGUGGGGUCCAAUCUUUGGGGAUGGAGUUAGAAGCCAGUUGCUGA
rnacentral:lncRNA from 1 species